AGGGUGAGGGGUCCUGUAAUAGACCAGUGAUAGGUACAGUUAUAGGGUGAGGGGUCCUGUAAUAGACCAGUGAUAGCUACAGUUAUAGGGUGAGGGGUCCUGUAAUAGACCAGUGAUAGCUACAGUUAUAGGGUGAGGGGUCCUGUAAUAGACCAGUGAUAGGUACAGUUAUAGGAUGAGGGGUCCUGUAAUGGAGCAGUGAUAGGUACAGUUAUAGGGUGAGGGGUUCUGUAAUAGACCAGCGAUAGGUAUAGUUAUAGGGUGAG
rnacentral:lncRNA from 1 species